AUUGAACGCUGGCGGCAGGCCUAACACAUGCAAGUCGAGCGAGCGGCGGACGGGUGAGUAAUGUAUGGGGAUCUGCCCGAUAGAGGGGGAUAACUACUGGAAACGGUGGCUAAUACCGCGUACCAUAGGAUGAGCCCAAGUGGGAUUAGGUAGUUGGUGAGGUAAAGGCUCCCCUAGGCGACGAUCCCUAGCUGGUCUGAGAGGAUGACCAGCCAUACCCGUACGGAGAUCCGCUCCAGACUCCUACGGGAGGCAGCCGCGAGGAAUAUUGCACAAUGGGCGCAAGCCUGAUUCAGCCAUGCCGCGUGGAUGAAGAAGGCCUUCGGGUUUUAAAGUAAUUUCAGCGAGGAGGCGUUACUCGAAGAAGAAGCACCGGCUAACUCCGUGCCAGCAGCCGCGGUAAUUC
rnacentral:rRNA from 1 species